CUUCUUUUACUGCAGUUGUAAUAUUUCUUUCACUUUUGCUGUAUUCUAUAUUUUGUAGUACUUCAUAAAGCUCUGUAUACUGUAUGGGACACUUAUGUUUUUGUAUUGCACUGGAUUACUGUAUUUUUAUUUUGGAGUGCUGAAAUUUGUGGAACCAGUUCGUCGUACUGUGGGAGGAAUAAGGGAACAAUUAUAGAAGUGUGUUUGCAGUGCAGGAAAUUUUGUGGUAAGUCCAUCCCUUAGGGGAGGUUCUGCCGGAUCUUCCACAGAAGGGUCCGGUAGGGUUUCCCUGGGAUCAGGGCUUGUCUAGGGUUCCGGUGGGGAACUUUGGACGGGUCCUGACACGGAUGGGAUAAGUUGUUUAUCUCUUUCAUUCCUGCUGAUUCUGCAAAGGCCACAACCAAGACAACUAAAGCAAAUGUGAGGAAUGGCACCUGCAAAUGGGCAGAUCCUAUCUAUGAAACUACUAGACUUCUUCAAGACAUUAAAACAAAGCAGUAUGAUGAGAGGAUCUAUAAACUUGUGGUCACAAUGGGUUCUUCACGAUCUAGUGUCCUUGGUGAGGCUAACAUCAAUCUAGCUCAUUAUGCUGAUGCACUAAAGCCUUCUAUUGUUGCACUGCCUCUUCAGGGAUGUGACUCUGGAGCUAUUUUACAUGUAACUGUUCAGCUGCUAACUUCUAAAACUGGUUUCA